AUGCAUUCGCAGCUCCAGAGCUGUAGGUGGCACUGUGAGCGCUGUUUGUCUGUAUUGACUCCGGCAGAAGAAAAGCGCUCAUGUGUCUGGUCUCUACUUUUAACAUCUGAGCCAUGGAAAGAAAACGCAUGUCUGCAUUAUCUAUCUAUCAGUCAUUAUCAGGAGGGACAAAACCACAAUAUCAGGCUAAGUCUCCGCCAGCGAAGAAAAUCAAAAAGAAGGAGAAUGGCAUCCAACCAAAGAAGAAACCCAAUAAAAAGAAAAGAACGAGACCUCUGAAGUCCAGCAUGAAGCUCAGCAGCAGUGAAAAGGAGACAUCUAAGGCGGAGAAGGACUGUGAGACACAUGAUGGUGAAGGAUCUGAGGACUCUUCUUCUCAGAUAUAAUAAUAAUAUAUCACAAUAUAUAAUAUCGUAACCUGGAGCAACAAAACCAGUCAGUAAGGUCUAGUUUUUUUUUUUAAUUGAGAUUUGUACAUCUGUAAGCUGAAUAAAUAAGCUUUCCAUUUGUUAGGAUCAGAUGAUAUUUGGCUGAGAUAC
rnacentral:lncRNA from 1 species